UACAGAGGGUGCAAGCGUUAAUCGGAAUUACUGGGCGUAAAGGGCGCGUAGGCGGUACUUCAAGUCAGGCGUGAAAGCCCGGGCUCAACCUGGGACUUGCAGUUGAAACUGGAAAGCUAGAGUAGGGUAGAGGGGUGUGGAAGUUCCAGGUGUAGGCGGUGAAAUGACGUAGAGUAUCAGGAGGAACACCAAUUGCGAAGGCAGCUCGCUGGACGUACUGACGCUGAGACGCGAAGCGUGGGAGCAAACAGG
rnacentral:rRNA from 1 species